rnacentral:tRNA from 1 species
GGUGUAGCGUAGUUGGUUAACGCGCCAGAUUGUGGCUCUGGAGAUCGUGGGUUCGAGUCCCACCAUC